rnacentral:rRNA from 1 species
AGCGAACGCUGGCGGCAGGCCUAACACAUGCAAGUCGAACGCCCAGCAAUGGGAGUGGCAGACGGGAUAGUAACACGUGGGAACGCGCCCUUCGGUUCGGAAUAACUCAGGGAAACUUGAGCUAAUACCGGAUACGCCCUUACGGGAAAGAUUAUUGCCGAAGGAACGGCCCGCGUCGGAUUAGCUAGUUGGUGAGGUAAUGGCUCACCAAGGCGACGAUCCGUAGCUGGUCUGAGAGGAUGACCAGCAUCACUGGGACUGAGACACGGUCCAGACUCCUACGGGAGGCAGCAGUGGGGAAUUUUGGACAAUGGGCGCAAGCCUGAUCCAGCAAUGCC